CAGCACCUCAAGUGGUCAGGAGGAUUAUUGGGCCUAAAGCAUCCGUAGCCUGUUCUGUAAGUUUUCGGUUAAAUCCAUUAGCUCAACUAAUGGGCCGCCGAAAAUACUGCAGAACUAGGGAGUGGGAGAGGUAGACGGUACUCGGUAGGAAGGGGUAAAAUCCUUUGAUCUAUUGAUGACCACCUGUGGCGAAGGCGGUCUACCAGAACACGUCCGACGGUGAGGGAUGAAAGCUGGGGGAGCAAACCGGAUUAGAUACCCGAGUAGUCC
rnacentral:rRNA from 1 species